rnacentral:rRNA from 1 species
CCUAACACAUGUAAGUCGAACGGUAACAGGAAGAAGCUUGCUUCUUUGCUGACGAGUGGCGGACGGGUGAGUAAUGUCUGGGAAACUGCCUGAUGGAGGGGGAUAACUACUGGAAACGGUAGCUAAUACCGCAUAACGUCGCAAGACCAAAGAGGGGGACCUUCGGGCCUCUUGCCAUCGGAUGUGCCCAGAUGGGAUUAGCUAGUAGGUGGGGUAACGGCUCACCUAGGCGACGAUCCCUAGCUGGUCUGAGAGGAUGACCAGCCACACUGGAACUGAGACACGGUCCAGACUCCUACGGGAGGCAGCAGUGGGGAAUAUUGCACAAUGGGCGCAAGCCUGAUGCAGCCAUGCCGCGUGUAUGAAGAAGGCCUUCGGGUUGUAAAGUACUUUCAGCGGGGAGGAAGGGAGUAAAGUUAAUACCUUUGCUCAUUGACGUUACCCGCAGAAGAAGCACCGGCUAACUCCGUGCCAGCAGCCGCGGUAAUACGGAGGGUGCAAGCGUUAAUCGGAAUUACUGGGCGUAAAG